CACGUUCUCAAUAUCGUUGAUCAUAAAUUUCAUCGUGGGGGAUCUGGACUCAAAACUUUUGUGUGUUGAUAUAAUUUUUUCGAUGUUUUGUUCUAUUUUUUUAUUUUUCUAUUCCUUUUCAAAAUAUUUCUUGCAUUAAGUUCCCAAAACGUUAUGUCUCCUUUCAGCAUUCUUGACUUUUUGAACUUUGCUCAGAUAUUUCUCCAGCAGGUUUCAGAAACCGUUAUAAUUUGCAAAUUAAGGAAAACUUGUAAGUUGUCUUUCAAAUAGCCUUGAAUCCAUGUCCCAUCUCUGCUCCGCAUCCGGCAGUUGGACAUGACUGAUAUAUAAAGCUAUCAUCUGCAUGGGUGUUUCCCCGUUGUGCUCCUAUUUCAGUUAUUUGUCAUCUGGUUGACCUCUGUAUAUUAUUUUACGGAUGUAACAUUUCAAUCCGCAUGACAUUUGUUUCUCUGAUUUAUAGUUGUACAAUUAUUAACAUGAAUAUAAAAGUAAUUCAUAAGCUGAUAUUUGUGAUCAAAAUAUUUCAUUGGAAUUGUGUCAGCACCUAUAAGCACUGGUUCUUGUGUGGAAAGUACAAGUGCAUGGAGACUGACGGCUAUGUCUUUUGGUGUUUGUAGUUUUCUUUGCAAACAUAUAUUGGGUUUUGUACUUUGUCCAGUGGUGGUCAAAUAUUGAGCACGAUUUGUGCCUUAGGCGUACCUCGCGACUGAGUACUGGCAAAAUCUGGCGCGAAUGAAUUACAUUUCUUUUUUCUUUUUUGUUUUAGUUUGUGCACCCGGCGUCCUAAAAUCCGUGCCUUAAAGUUAGAAAUAUAGGUUCUCACUGCGUUCUUAUAGUGAUCUGGUACGUAAAGGAUGUGUGUCAAGAUAUAGUCUAAAACUUACAGUAUAAUAAGAUUGCAAUAAUAUUACUCAUUUAGCAAAUAUGUAAGUGUUAUCUAACAGUUGUAUAAUAUUGUAUUUAUUUGCCCUUGUUGCAAUUUGCUUAUAUGGUUUACCACUGAAUCAAUUAGCUAAUAUCAUAGCAGCACUUUAUUUUGAUUAAUUUGCUAAUAUAGUUAACCCUUGCGUUCUUAACAUGAAGUGAUACAAGUUUAUAUAUAUUGACAUUAAUAUUAUUAACUGUAAUUGAUUUCAUAAAAGUGCAGGCAUUUUUUUUUUUAA
rnacentral:lncRNA from 1 species